GGUGAAGUAGUGACGCCGUCCA
rnacentral:siRNA from 1 species